rnacentral:tRNA from 2 species
AUCUAAUUAGUAUAAUUAAAGUACAAUUGACUUCCAAUCAAUAAGUUUUUUAAAAAAUUAGAAA